rnacentral:rRNA from 1 species
CGAAAGACAGUGAUGCAGAGCAAAUCCCAAAACGACAGUCUUAGUUCGGAUUGUAGGCUGCAACUCGCCUACAUGAAGUCGGAAUUGCUAGUAAUCGCGGAUCAGCAUGCCGCGGUGAAUACGUUCCCGGGCCUUGUACACACCGCCCGUCAAGCCAUGGGAGCCGGGAGCGCUUGAAGUGCGUCGCCGCGAGGCGCGCCCUAGAGCGAGACCGGUGACUGGGGCUAAGUCGUAACAAGGUAUC